UAGGCAGAAGCCGAGGGGUUAUGGCGUCUAGCUGUUAACUAGAAUUGUAUGGGAUCGAGGCCCAUCUGCCUAG
rnacentral:tRNA from 2 species